AACCCCUUCCUAGGCAUCCGUGGUCUUAACGCAAGGUCCAAAGGGUGACGGCACCGGAGAUGGCCGUCGGAAAAAAGCGAAUGAGCAUCGUUCAGGUGGCGUUACGACCGAGUGUUAAUUGCAUCGACUUAGUGAAUUGCCGUGCGCCUCGAACGGCGGCUCGUUUACCGUAGAGCAACCCGCAGAUAGUGCGUACGCUAGUUUUAGGAAGAGCAUACGCAGAGGAGAGACGGCCGUGCCACAAGAUACACGCAAGUCCUAUAAUUUAAUAUAAUUCAAACAUUAGUGUUUCCUUCGUCAAUAAUAAAUUAUUAUCUUACCUUCUUGGUAAAAUAACGCUCAAUACAAACAUAUGGAAGAGGAGUGGUAGGAACCGAUGUUGAUGUUUGUCCGCUGUGAUUGCAGAGACCCGAAGCCGCCGCCACGCCGGUUACUCCCCGGGUUCCCAGUUCGGUGCCGUGCCGCUCUGGGGCUCAGGGCAAGGCCGGUGCUGGUGGCUGUUGGGCUCCCACGGGCGGUGGGAGGGCUAGUGGCCACAGCAGCGAGCCCUGAGGAGAACACUGGCCACCCAGAGCUUCAUUCCUGGAAGAAGCAGUUGGCCCCCCGCCCUCUCCAUCCCCUCUCCCAAAAAUCAGUGAGGCGCAGAGCCAUGCCUCUGGGAAGAAGUGCCAAGUGGUGAAAUUGGUCAAAGAAAGGCGAUGGGGCAAAAAACCCACCAAACUGGGGCUGCGUGAGGUACAAAACCAGCCUGAGGAAUCCCCGCGGAAAAUAGGCAUCCUCCCAGGGUUCCUCACCCUCUCCGGCCCUAGGAGUAGGACACGGUCUUCGCUGGCCCCGGGUAUCUCCAGAGUACGGGUGACAAGACUCACUGAGAAAACUGGAACGUGAGGAAAAGCCAUUUAAUUUCCCAGGCCCGGUGACUCAGAGCUGGAGGCAAGAGCAGAACCCCAGGGAGAGUUGCUGCGGAUGAGGAGUCCAACCUCUGCCUCCAGGAGAGGAGCACUAAGCCCUGCUGUGGUGGUUCUGUCCAGCCGAAUCCACCCAAAAGGGCAGGAGGAAGUAAAGGGCCUGCAAGAGUUUACAGUUGUGCUAGAAAAAUUAUCUCCACACAGGGGUUCCAUUUAACCUGUAAAUAGGAAUUUAGCUUAAUGAGCGAUCAUUAGUAUAAUAACCUGCAUUUUUGCUGCUUCAGCAACGGCUCUACAAAAUCAAUUUUGCUGUCCCUAAGAAGAAGAACAUAGGAAUGCAAAGCCUGUUUAUUCAGUCUUCGGAUGCAAGGCUAGAUUCGACCCUCAGGUCACUUCUGGGAAGAAGCAACCGGUUUCGAAGUCAGUAUUGCUAGGAGGUAUGAGGUAACACAGCAUGUAAAUUUAGGGCUACACUGACAGUUCUCAGAAUAAAGAUUUCUUUUUCCAUUUGCUGUUUCAAACAAACAAGUAUAUAAUUUUAAUCUGUAAACAGAAUUAAGAUCAUUAACCAUCUGUACGAGUCAUUAAGAUCACCAAUUCCCCUGCAUAGCAUUAUUUUGAUUAUGUAAUUUGUACAGAAAAAAGAUUUUAAAUUGAGUCAAUAGUGAUUACAUCUUGUCUGCAUUCUGUGUCUAGAUCAAUUUUUUCUUCUGUCAUAAAUCUGUGCUAACGUUAUCUUCAGAAACUACCAAGAAUGUAAAUACUUGCCUUAGUUGUAUGUGCAAUUUCCUUUUGUGAGUCUUUUAAAAUAUUUUAACUGAAAAAUAAUUCCUUUUUCAUCUAACUUCAUCUAAGUUCUGUUAGAAGAAUUUGCCAAAAAUAAAUAAAUAAGUCUUCAGCAAGAAAACAACAAUUCUCUCAAAAUAAAUUGGCCCUGUCAAAAUAUGUGAUGCUAUUAUUUAGGAUGUCCUUCUCUACAGGCUUUUUUAGUGAACGUGAACUCCAAAAGCUUUCUGAGAUGAUUAUGGCUUGCAAGGAAACUGUGAACAAGAACCUGAACCCUUGUGGAAAUAAUAACAUAAAUGAAAGGGAAGCAUCAAGGCACAAAGAGUAACGCUGUUCACUGCACGUAGAGACGUGGGCUCAGAUUUCCUGGUCGUCUGUUUCCUGACCCAACAAUCCUGCACCAGAGCGGGAAGCACUGGAAAGGUGAAAUACCCAGUGGCCAGGGAAGCGCCCUGAGCAUCCAUAUGCUUUUUGGACUCAGAGGAGCUCCGGUGGUUCGGCACACUACUGGACUUUUGCUCAUGCUUAUCUAGAUAUUUAUAAAGAUGGUGUAUGGUCAAGAGGAGCCCAUUGUAAACACAUUGGGAUUUAUUUAUAACAAUUGAUGUGGCAAUUUAAUAAAUAACAAAGUAAUCAUCCUCUUGAGAGGAUGAUCUGGGAAUAAAAUAGAGAUUUCAAGAAGAAAAGAUGAAACAUUUAGAAUCUAUGAAAAAUUAGUUGUGGAAUGUUAUAGAAGUCAGACCAGGACUCUUCAAAAAAUUAAAGACAUUUUCUUUAACUCAGGCUCCACUUCGCUGAACCAUUAAAGACAGGCACCAUCAAGUGUUUGCCUGCUAAGAAAAUUGAAGGAGAGAAGACAGUAAAAACUGUUCUUAUAGCAUGUCCUAUUUUAAGUCCAUAAGAUAAAAUUCUCAAAACUUGAAAAACACCAGAGUGAAGGAGUCAAGGUGAGAGUAUCAUCAGAUUAUAUAUCAUCUCUGUCACAAUAAAAGGAAUAUAAUCUU